rnacentral:misc_RNA from 1 species
AAGUCGUAACAAGGUUUCCGUAGGUGAACCUGCGGAAGGAUCAUUACUAAUGUUAAUCACAUUCUUAAUCAUAUCAAACCUUUUGUGCACCUUAUAUCAAUGGCUGGUUCCCGCAAUUUGUUGUCCCAGGUGUUGGUCGAAAGACUAGUGACUUGGGUAUGACGCUACCAAUUGCAGGACCAAAACUGGCCGGCGAUAUUUCAUAAACAUAUUACCACCAAUGACUUGAUAUCCGUCUCAGACUUGCUUAAUACCAAUGACUGGGACAACUAAGGGUAAAAAACUUUUAGCAACGGAUCUCUUGGCUCUC